rnacentral:misc_RNA from 1 species
AUGCAAUAUGCAGCCAGUGAAAUUUUGUAUUGAUACAUUUUUGAUUUUACGGCAGAUAAUUACGAUGGACAGUAGAAAAAGGAAAGCUGUUAAAUCACGUUGGUGUAAAACUAAAAGAAAGAAACUGAAGCUAGACACAGAAUCUGGGUUUAAAACUGAAGAUGAGGGUAAUAGCCAUCAAAGAGAAGGCUAUAUAGAAGCAGUAAGCGCUCCUUUGAAAAAAAAGAAAUGGGGCACCCCAAAAAAUAAAUCUACGAGCAGAAAAUUAUUUGUAAAAACAAAUAAAAGUUUUGUAUCAAAGUUAUCAAGUCCAAAGCUCAAACGAGUGGCUGAGAAAAUAGCGGGAACAAUUGACAACCUUGUUCAGAAAUUUAGCAAACAGGACUCCUUCAAUGAAUUUGUCACUCUAUUUAGUUUGCUUGAAGACGAUUCCUUCCCUAUGGACAACCUAUCUUUCAGAUUAUUUUUGGAAACAGUAAAAUGGCACAGGAUUUCAGACAAACGAAGAAUGACAUACUAUUCAGAUACUCUAACCUUCUGGAAAAUAGGUUAUCGCCUUUUCAAGGAAAAAUUCGUCCUUUUCCUGGGCGGGGACAAGUCAAAUGGGUUUGCCGCUCCAACUAUGAAAAUAAUCAGAGAUUUCAAUACUGUUAAAUUCCCCAAAAGUAUUCCGUGUGGGAUAAUAGAACAAACUCUAGAGAAUUUUGAGAAUUCUGAAGGAUCACAUAUACUAAGCUUCGAUGGGAAAAAGUUAGCCCAAGGUCUUAACAAAAAAGGUGGCGAGGUCGAUCUAUUUGGACACGAGGAAGGAGAAACUGCAGCUAAUGCUAAAGCCUGUGCUGAUGAUGAAACAGCUAGGAUUCAAAAGUUAAUUGACAGUAUCAAAGCAUCGGAAAUAACUCAACUAGUCGAAAUGCAACAAGUUGUGCGAAUGUUAGGAAAACGGAUCCAUGAUAUGCGAAAUACGAAAGCCAAGCAAGAAUAUGCAUUAUGUCAAUACGAAUUAAAAGAGAAAGAAAGUGGUGGAACUGGAAAGUAUGCAUAUGCAAUGGAUUCGGCCAGAACCCUAAUUCAUAGAACAACUGAAGUUAUCAGAAAAAGUCUCGAUGCUGUCGGAGAAAUAGCUCACUGUGGAAGUCCAAGGAUUUCGUCAAAAAUCCAGAGGUAAAACGAUCUGCACAAGGUAACUGGGUAACUCUUAAAUCACAAGAUAUGUUACCAGAUGAAUUUGAAACAAUACCGCGGUUUAUUCAACAGAGAAUGCCUGCAUGGUACAACGCAAGGAAAGAAUUCAAAGUCACUGGUUCGACAAUGCACAAUGCCCUUGGUCUCAGAUCUCUGAAAGCAAUGAAACAACAUUUCAACAGCGCGGUUCUCGGACAGGAAAGGAUUUUUACUGCGGAAGAAAGGCAGAGAAUGCAGCACGGAACUAUAAAUGAAGUUAACGCAGUAGCUACAUUAUCAGGAGUCGUUCCACCUUUCUUGUACCCUUCAAUCGUGUUUGUUGAAGAAGGCUUUUACGCUGUAAAUUAUGAAGAUGACGGUGAGGGGAGUGAAAUGCGUCCAUUUAUUCUAGUUUCACCAGAUGGCAGUGUUAGAUCAAAAGUAGAUAUACCCAGUGGUAUGAACACGUUGACAUCUCUACCAGCAAACCUAGCCGUUGAGAUCAAAUGCCCAGCCCCUGUUCAAAGUGGAAAUUACAACAGAGUGCCACUCUACUAUACCCUGCCAGAUUAUCAUGUGUGUCAAGUAUUAGCCGAGAUGUAUGUUUUGGAUGCAAUGGAACUUCUUCUUGUAUGUUAUACUGAAGAAAGUACAACUGUAUUGCUGGUGACAUUUGAUGCGACAUUGUGGGACGAGUUGGUCAUGCAUUCUACAGCUCUCUAUUGUACAGUUGAGACUAAGAAGCCCAUACACAGCCCACCAUUCACCAAAGAGUUAGCUGAUAAACUGAAAUUAUUUAUCAGCAGCAAUGUCGAGUUUCUUGGAGAGUUUCCAUCAAGACAAAAUGCCAAUGAAUUAAUUGAGCAGCUCCAAACUUCAGCCGAGUCUCCUUUUCUGUUUGCCGCGCAAUCAGAUGAACUGUCUCAGCCGAGUGCUAUUGAAGAUUCGCUGGUAAAGGCAAAGGAGUGUGUUUACGAAAUGUACUCAAUAAGUCGGAAAAAAGCAGCAGAGGUCGUUGUUUGGCUCCUUCAAAAUACUAACCGACACUACAAAAAAGAGUGUCCACACUCAAUACCAAUUGCGUAUUGCAUGAAGGGCUAUAGUCUGAGUUGCAAGAUUAUGAGAGAGAUGAUUGACGACAUUCUCAAUAGUUGUGACAAACGAAAAAUAUUGGUACCAGGAUUGGCAUCAGAUGGACAGUGGUUACCCGUAUUUAAUACAAGUGCAAAUGGCAAUCCAUUGACAAAGCUACAACUGCAGAAGUUUGUUUGGAGUAAAAGCCAAAAGAUGAAAAAAGAAGAUAUAGUUGGAGUAAUAACUGAGCUAUCUUCACAAAGUAAAAUGCAAAUAAUCGGUGGACCGAACGUGUGCUUACAAACGGUAAUCUGGAAGGAGUAGUUGAGAAGGUGAAUUGAAGAAAACUGAACCAAACAUUUGAAAAACAACACACUGGUGGAAGGUCGAGCCAAAUUCGAUCAUCUGAUGAAGUUGAACCUGUCGACAUCUUAGCCAACAUCAAUGAAUUAGAGGAGUUGGAUUAUAUCAGAAUCCUGGCGAGACUGAGCAAUAUAAAACCAUUGAAAUGGAAAGAUUACACUCCUCACCAGCUAAUAACGUUUUUGAGUGUUAACUCCGCCAUACGAAUACAAAGCAUGACAGUGAAAGAGAUAGACAUUAUACUUGAGGCAUUGAGCAGUAAGCCGACAGUUAAAGGCUGGACAAAGGCAAAGAAAGUGAACUACCUCGCCAAAACAAUAGGUGAUUCAACAGAAAUACAUGUUGUCAAGCCUAAGAGGAAACUCAAAGAUCUUAAGAGUCUGACUUAAGAGGCCUUGAUGAAAUGGCCAAAAGGAGUUAGCAAAUCUGCUUGGCAUUCUGUUGCCAAUAAAGACCAAUCCAUUAUUAGCAAAAGUUUAGUUGAGGAUCUUCUUGAUAAACAGAGGAAUUCUUAUGCUGUAAGAACCUUUUCACCAGAAGUUGAAAGUGCCAUGCGUGAUCUUGGCUUUUUGGAGGAAGCUAACUUUACACGCACUGUCAGGGAUUGGUACGAGGCACAAGACGAAAGAGGAAUGCCAGCAAUGGAGAGAAUUGAAAAACAAAUUCAGAUGAGGACACUUCUUUUAAAGAAUGUGAAGUUCGACACAUUUCCCCCGCCUUCAGGUGAUAAAACAUAUAUUUUUUAAAUUCAUUUCCACUGUUAAAUAUGUAAAAUAUGUCUAAUAAAAACCUGUUUCAAUGGUAUACUUGCAGGAUACAUCAAAGGAUUCCCCAUUCAGAUGUUCGAGGGGUUUCUUUUGUCAAUUGAUAGCCACCUUCAGCUAUAUAAACUGGUAAGAGGCGGAACUAACAAUCAACGAGCUUUCAGCUCUUUAGAAAAUGAAUCCUUCUUUGGAACGCUUUCGGAAGUUGACAGUAAUAGACUUGGAUGCCCAAAAGCUGUGAAUCUAGAGCGUGUUAUGAGUCAAGUAACAGAAGUGUUACACUACAGACAAAAUCCAGACUUAAG